UUGCUGUUUUCGUUGUUAUUGUCGUCAGGGGCCGAAAAGUCGAUCAAAUCAACCGGAAUCAGCCGCCGAUCAUCGCCCCGGUCAAUGUAGAACUCAAGAUGAUGAGGAACAGUCUCAGGCAAUUCAUCCUCUUUCUCACAACCAACUUGAACUGUUUUCUGAUUACAAGUGGUCAGAUCCUCAGCCAGCUCAAGAAAAUCCCCAUCUUUUUCAGCACCCAUUUCAGCUCUAUCAUCAUCAUCCUCAUGAACCGCCGAAUCUUUACAGCCACAACCACAAACAGAGCAAGUGGAGUUCUUCUCUGCCUCUUCCCCACCGGAAACAACAGAGAUUUCCCUGUUUCCGAUGACAUCUUCCGGUUGAGAAACAUGGAUUUCAUCAGUUUCCGCCUCAGAAAUCAAAUUCCCCUUCUGGGUAUAAUCCAAAUCCCCCCAAUUCGGUUUAAUCAAAAUACAAGGGGAAAACAAUCGACUCUUCAAAG
rnacentral:misc_RNA from 1 species